UGUAUGUGCAGCUAUACUUUCUUUCUGUCUCUAACUUUGAUCGUCAAAUAUUUUUAUUGUUAGUAUUUUUGUUGUUAUUAGAUAAUAAAACAUAAAAAAUAAGACGUACGAUUAAAGUUGAACAUAUAAACUCAUGGUUACACUUAAA
rnacentral:pre_miRNA from 1 species